rnacentral:tRNA from 1 species
AUUCCCGGCGGCCGGGAAUCGAACCCGGGCCGCCCGCGUGGCAGGCGAGCAUUCUACCACUGAACCACCGAUGA